rnacentral:tRNA from 1 species
GGCGGUGUGUGGUACACAGGUCCAGGUUCGAUUCCUGGCAUAACCAUGGUGGAAAGUAAGAGGGUGCCGGUUCGACUCCGGCCGCCGCCA